rnacentral:misc_RNA from 1 species
GAUGAAGAACGUAGCGAAAUGCGAUAAGUAAUGCGAAUUGCUGAAUUUCCGUGAGUCAUCGAAUCUUUGAACGCACAUUGCGCCCACUGGUAUUCCGGUGGGCAUGCCUGUUCGAGCGUCAUUAUCCUCCCUCAAACCCCGGGUUUGGUGUUGGACCCAAGUUGUGUGAACAACUGGUCUCAAAGACAAUGACGGCGUCCGUGGGACCCUCGGUGCAACGAGCUUUUAGGAGCACGCAUCGAGUUGCAAGGACCUUCCGGGCCGGUCUCCUUUACCAUUUUACAAGGUUGACCUCGGAUCAGGUAGGAAUACCCGCUGAACUUAAGCAUAUCAAUAAGCGGAGGA